rnacentral:rRNA from 1 species
AUUGAACGCUGGCGGCAGGCCUAACACAUGCAAGUCGAGCGGAUGACGGGAGCUUGCUCCUUGAUUCAGCGGCGGACGGGUGAGUAAUGCCUAGGAAUCUGCCUGGUAGUGGGGGACAACGUUUCGAAAGGAACGCUAAUACCGCAUACGUCCUACGGGAGAAAGCAGGGGACCUUCGGGCCUUGCGCUAUCAGAUGAGCCUAGGUCGGAUUAGCUUGUUGGUGAGGUAAUGGCUCACCAAGGCGACGAUCCGUAACUGGUCUGAGAGGAUGAUCAGUCACACUGGAACUGAGACACGGUCCAGACUCCUACGGGAUGCAGCAGUGGGGAAUAUUGGACAAUGGGCGAAAGCCUGAUCCAGCAAUGCAGCGUGUGUGAAGAAGGUCUUCGGAUUGUAAAGCACUUUAAGUUGGGAGGAAGGGUUGUAGAUUAAUACUCUGCAAUUUUGGCGUUACCGACAGAAUAAGCACCGGCUAACUCUGUGCCAGCAGCCGCCGUAAGAC